rnacentral:rRNA from 1 species
UACGUAGGCAGCGAGCGUUGUUCGGAGUUAUUGGGCGUAAAGAGCGUGUAGGCGGCCAGACAGGUCCGUUGUGAAAACUCGAGGCUCAACCUCGAGACGUCGAUGGAAACCGUCUGGCUAGAGUCCGGAAGAGGAGUGUGGAAUUCCUGGUGUAGCGGUGAAAUGCGCAGAUAUCAGGAAGAACACCUAUGGCGAAGGCAGCACUCUGGGACGGUACUGACGCUGAGACGCGAAAGCGUGGGGAGCGAACAGG